GUGUGUUUGUUUUAUUUCUUUGCAAUUUACAUGCUUCUGCAGUGCACAACAUAUUUGUAGAAAUUAAAUUUUAGAAUCAUACAUAUAUAACUUGAAAACACCAAUAUUAUAAAAUUACUCGCACUAAUGUGAAAUCUAUAAAAAGCUAAAAAAGAAGAAUGCAUUGAAACUUGAAUUCUAGAGUAAAAUUAAUUAACAUAUAAAAGUAAAACUAGAUCUUUUAAUAUUAAAAUACCAAACAACUAUUAACAAUAUAUACAAGUAGCAUUUUCAUAGCAUCCCUUAGGGUAUUCGCAAUGGUUUACUCUUACCUAUUCCCUCCUUUCAAAUGACAACUUUUACUCACAACACACAAACAUGAUUAAAAGACUAUAUUUACAUUUUUAUUGCAAUUUUCAUUUAUCUUUACAUAAUUGUAUUUAUAUAAUCUACUAAACAAAUGAAUUUAUAUUUAACAUAUAUAAAAAUAAAAAUUAAAGUGUUUACUAAAUCGAAAUAACAAUUCGUAAGUAUAACGCUUGUAUAUUUAACACAUAUAAAAAUUAAAGACUUUUACCUGUUUCAUGUUUGGCCGAGAGUU
rnacentral:misc_RNA from 1 species